rnacentral:misc_RNA from 1 species
AAGUCGUAACAAGGUUUCCGUAGGUGAACCUGCGGAAGGAUCAUUAACACGUAUCCAACGUUAAACCCCCCGUGAACCUUCAGUGCGCUCGCACUUUCUUAGAAAAGGUAGCAAUCCCUGGUAAAUCAUUGCCGCAUGAAAACGGGCCUGCGCUUAGUUGUGCGGCCACCAAACUCGAACAACUUUUAACAAUGGAUAUCUUGGUUCUC